rnacentral:rRNA from 1 species
UUCCUACGGGAGGCAGCAGCCGCGGUAAUACGUAUGGUGCAAGCGUUAUCCGGAUUUACUGGGUGUAAAGGGAGCGCAGGCGGCACGGCAAGCCUGAUGUGAAAGCCCGCGGCCCAACCGCGGGACUGCAUUGGGAACUACCGGGCUGGAGUGCCGGAGAGGUAGGCGGAAUUCCUAGUGUAGCGGUGAAAUGCGUAGAUAUUAGGAGGAACACCAGUGGCGAAGGCGGCCUACUGGACGGUGACUGACGCUGAGGCUCGAAAGCGUGGGGAGCAAAAAGGAUUAGAUACCCUGGUAGUCCAAAG